GCCUGUUCUUUGUCAUUGUACCUAUAAAUAGAAUGCAGGUGCACGUCAGGCAAAAAUACAGACACUUUCCUGCUAGUAAUAAGCCGCAUAUUGAUUUUUGAUUUUUGUUUUAUUACUAGGCCUAUUUAAAAUCUGAUGUGAUUGCAGAGCUGCGCGCAGCCCAUCUAUUCGCGCAGCACCUCUUCUCUCUGUCUCUGUGUGUGCAUGCUGGGAGUUUGGUGGUAUAGAGCGUGGUGAGUGGCUGAGAUUUUUGUGAGUGAUUUCAAACUUUUCUCCUCUCUCUUGCUGUGUGAAUGUUUUGCAGCUGUUGUGCUUUGUGUUAGUGUAGCUAGUGUGUGUUUGGUGGGCGGCAGACCAGUCCCUGUCUCUGAGGCAUGGAGUGUGGUUCCAGCCCGUCCCAUCGGUUCAAGUGGAGGCGGUUCACCUGGCUGUGGGACACGCCAACCUCUCCUGUGCCUACAGGAUGAACAGAGGUGUGGUAGUUUUCCGUAAAGAGGAGCGUUUUGUGGCUGAGUUAAUAGCGAGUGGUGUGUCUGUGAAUGGCGCCUAUCUGCAGGUAUCCCCGCUCGCCGUGCCAUCCACCUGGGUCACCGGUGUUCCCCCGUUCAUUUCUAACGAGGCAUUGGAGGAGCUGCAGUGCUUCAUCACAGAUGCUGGAUGUCCUUCAGAGUAAAACACGGGGAGGGACAGUACAUGGUGUACGCUGGCACUCUCUGAAUGCAUCUCUGUUGCAGACUCACAACCACACAGGAGAGUUCUAGAGGAAAUAAACAACUUUGUGGAUGAAACUUCAGGGAAAUCUGAAGUUUGAGUAUGUUCCAGAUGUAGAGAAGUCCAUUAAAAGAGUGAUGUCCUUGCAGAGAGUGGUGGGUGUUGAUCUGUUUGAGUGAAGGCGUUUCUGUGUGAAAAAGCAUGUGACUCAGAAAGAUGCUCCAGACCAAUAAAGGAAAGCAGUCAAAA